CACGCACACACGCGCGGCAUAUCAAUAAGCGGAGGAAAAGAAACUAACUAGGAUUCCCUCAGUAACGGCGAGUGAAGCGAGAAGAGCUCAAAUUUGAAAUCUUCAAGGUUCUACCUUGACGAAUUGUAGUUUAAAGAAGUGUUUUCUGUUGGAGUUUUGGUAAAAGUUCUUUGGAAUAGGACAUCAUAGAGGGUGAGAAUCCCGUAUUUGACCAUUUCUUCCAGCUGUGUGAUACACUUUCAAAGAGUCGGAUUGUUUGGGAAUGCAGUCCAAAAUGGGUGGUAAAUUUCAUCUAAAGCUAAAUAUUGGCGAGAGACCGAUAGCGAACAAGUACCGUGAGGGAAAGAUGAAAAGAACUUUGAAAAGAGAGUUAAACAGUACGUGAAAUUGUCAAAAGGGAAGCGUUUGACACCAGUGUUGUUUUCUCGAAAAUCAAUUAAAAAUGACCGGAUUUUGUGUUGUAUUGACUUUAUCAGCUUUCUGCACUUUUUUCUUGUCUUUUUUAAUGCACUUUUCGUUUAACAAGUCAACAUCAAUUUCUUUUGUUGUAAAAGGGUCAUUGGAAGGUGGCUUUCAUUUCGGUGAAAGUGUUUAUAGCCUUUGACUUCUGCAAUCGGAGAGAUUGAGGUCUGCAGCGUAGAUCCUUCGGGGUUAGAUACAUUUGUGCUAAGUUAUAGCCUUUUCAUAGACAACAUGUUGACUAUGAUUCAGUCAUGUAGCUUACUCGCUUAUGUCUAUUUUACCUACGCUUAGGAUGUUGACGCAUGAGAUAUACGC
rnacentral:rRNA from 1 species